rnacentral:rRNA from 1 species
AACGAACGCUGGCGGCAUGCCUAACACAUGCAAGUCGAACGAGACCUUCGGGUCUAGUGGCGCACGGGUGCGUAACACGUGGGAAUUUGCCUCGGGGUAUGGAAUAACUCAGGGAAACUUGAGCUAAUACCAUAUAAUGUCUUCGGACCAAAGAUUUAUCGCCCUGAGAUAAGCCCGCGUAGGAUUAGCUAGUUGGUGGGGUAAAGGCUCACCAAGGCGACGAUCCUUAGCUGGUCUGAGAGGAUGAUCAGCCACACUGGGACUGAGACACGGCCCAGACUCCUACGGGAGGCAGCAGUGGGGAAUCUUAGACAAUGGGCGCAAGCCUGAUCUAGCCAUGCCGCGUGAGCGAUGAAGGCCUUAGGGUUGUAAAGCUCUUUCAGAUGGGAAGAUAAUGACGGUACCAUCAGAAGAAGCCCCGGCUAACUCCGUGCCAGCAGCCGCGGUAAAGGUG